rnacentral:snRNA from 1 species
AGGCUCCCUUCGGAAUCACAUAAAUUAAAACUGGAACAAUGCAGAGAAGAAAGCAUGGCCCCUGUGCAAAGAUGACACAGAUUCAUGAAGCACUCCAUCAUUUU